AUGCAGGACAUUUUCAGUUUGAUCAAGAAGGACUCGAACAUGGUGACCCAGCAGGACAGUUUCACACUGAAUCAGCACAACAGCUUUAUAAUCUUCUGUGAUGAGGACGUACCACUACCACGUUUUGGUGGCAUACACGCUGAGGCUUGUGGGACGUCCAAAGGGGAUACUGGUUGGCAUAACAACAUGUUAAGUGACGGCCCCAACACCAACGACUCUAACGGGAAUCAACACGAAGCGGUGAACAGAGACCAUUUUAACAACCUUAAAAGCCUGAAAUCCUGUCGAAUCUACGGCGCUCCGGGGGUUUUGUCUCAGAGGGACUUUAAUAAGAGGAGGAGCGUGACCUUUGAUGAUGAUGUCAUCGUCUACCUGUUCGAUCAGGGGAGUCCCACCAUGGAGCUGCACAGUGAGGCCUGCUCAUCUCCGCCAGAUGUCACUUUAGAAGACAGUGGCUUGGAGUGGGAAGACGACUUCUCAGCUUUGGAGAAGAACUGCCAUUUUCAGUGUGUCAGACACUCUCCGCAGCGCAGCCUUUCCCUGCCAACACGAAGCACCGCUGCUCUGUCCCGCCGCUUCUUUCUCUCCCAAACCUGUCUGUUCCUCACCCAUGUCACCGAGUCAGACCUUGAGCUGUGAGAUAAAAGACAGCCAGCCUUGGCCUAAUGGAAAAAGUGACUAAUCGUCCUCUUCACCUUCUCCCUCCUCUUUUAUGAUGAGUCAGGGGAUUUUAAUGGCUUUUUUUUCUCUCUCGGCUCCAAAUGGAUUCAAAGCACCUGGCGUUCAUGACAUCACAGCCACGCAGGACUGUGUGACGGUGCAUUCAGCUUUCACAGUUGUUAGUAUGACAAGAUCACAGGCUGUGAUGUGAGAAAAGAACACAUAACGUAGCAGUGCUGGUACUUUUCCAGCUGCAGACGUCUUUGAAAGCUGUGUUCAAUCAAUUUAAUUUAAUAAAUUGUGACUGAAAUCUCAUUUGAAUUGUUGUAUUUCAACAAAUUCCAGGUUAAUCUGGGAAUACAAGGAGUAUACGUUGUUUAUUUAUAUAGUUUGUUUUUGUUAAACAGAGCAUGCUUGUGGAGGCCCUGUUUGCUUGCCUCAUUACUAAAGUGUAUUCAGCUCAGAAUUUAUCAGCGGCUGUGGCUGAAUAAACAGUGUAAGCCUUAGGGCCAAUGGAGCCAGAAACUGAACAAACUAAAAGUAACAGAUAGUGUUUCCACAGAGCCAGCAUCAGCAAGGUUUGGUUGAUUAGAUACAGUGUACCUGAGGAGGAAACAGUGAACCUGGCAGGACCAGGUUUUUAUUAUUCACACACACACACACACACACACACACACACACACACACACACACACACACACACACACACACACACACACAGUUCAAGGACACCAACAGUGUUUGGCUCAACGAGCUGGGAGCGUCACACCUGCAUUAUUGUUGUGGUUACAUGUUUGUGAUAUUCUCCCAUAAUUUAGCUAAAAGUCAAAUUAUAAUGUUGUUCUUUGAAUUUAAACCACAUACUGCUCGGUAAUGUCCUAUUUUUAACUGUAGGCUACCAUGAAGUUUGUUUUUGUUGUCCAAAUGUGCUAUUACAGGUUUUCCUUCAAGCUAACGUGCCACUUAGCUUUAACAUUGUUGCAUUAAAGAGGAAAGCAUUUUUUAUUAUUUGGGAAUACUUUCUUUUUUGGAAGAAACUGAGCAACAAAAAAUAUGAAUUCUUUAACAUGUUUCUCUAAUAAAUGCAUUAAAUAUUUUGCUUACUGCUGCUUCACUGUUGCUACAUUUUUCUUGUUAAGCAGCGCAUGCUAGCUGCUAGCUGCUAGCUGCUAGCUCACUUGUGCCUUUCCUC
rnacentral:lncRNA from 1 species